rnacentral:rRNA from 1 species
AGGGUUUCGGCCUUAGUUGGCGGACGGGUGAGUUAACGCGUAGGUAUCUAUCCAUGGGGUGGGGGAUAACACUGGGAAACUGGUGCUAAUACCGCAUGACACCUGAGGGUCAAAGGCGUAAGUCGCCUGUGGAGGAGCCUGCGUUUGAUUAGCUAGUUGGUGGGGUAAAGGCCUACCAAGGCGAUGAUCAAUAGCUGGUUUGAGAGGAUGAUCAGCCACACUGGGACUGAGACACGGCCCAGACUCCUACGGGAGGCAGCAGUGGGGAAUAUUGGACAAUGGGGGCAACCCUGAUCCAGCAAUGCCGCGUGUGUGAAGAAGGUCUUCGGAUUGUAAAGCACUUUCGACGGGGACGAUGAUGACGGUACCCGUAGAAGAAGCCCCGGCUAACUUCGUGCCAGCAGCCGCGGUAAUACGAAGGGGGCUAGCGUUGCUCGGAAUGACUGGGCGUAAAGGGCGUGUAGGCGGUUUGUACAGUCAGAUGUGAAAUCCCCGGGCUUAACCUGGGAGCUGCAUUUGAUACGUGCAGACUAGAGUGUGAGAGAGGGUUGUGGAAUUCCCAGUGUAGAGGUGAAAUUCGUAGAUAUUGGGAAGAACACCGGUGGCGAAGGCGGCAACCUGGCUCAUUACUGACGCUGAGGCGCGAAAGCGUGGGGAGCAAACAGGAUUAGAUACC